GGAGCCACACAAAGACAACAAGAUGGCCACAGUUCAUGAGGUUCCUGCUUCACUUCCUGGAGAUUAGCUGCGAGCCCGCGCGCGCCAACAAGAAAGCCCGCGCGCGCCAAGAGAUACUCUUCUCCCCCUCCUUCCCCAUUAUCAUAUGCCAAUCAGAAUGUAACUCGCUGCGCCAUCCCUGCUAUGCAGCCAAUCCCCUGCUUACAAGUAUCCUAUGGCCCACUCUGCCCCUGAACAUUAGUAUAUAUGUACCCCCGUCUUACAAUAAAAUUUGAAGGCUUGAUCAGAACAUUGUCUUGCCUUCGCUCUUCUCUCGCCCCCAUUUUCUUUCAGGUCGGAUCCCCCUCGUCCCCACAAAUAACUAGGUCCCGCUGGACGGGACAAGUGGCGCCCAACGUGGGGCCAGAGGUGCAGAUCCUUCACAGGCGGACCCCCGAGUGAGAUAUCGUCUGCGCAGACCCCUUCUUGAUGAAACAAUAGGAGACGCCUUUCGCCGCUCACGGAGGUCGUCGUCCCUGAAGGCAGGAAGUAGAUCCACGCAUCUCAUGUGAAACCUGUUGUCCCAACCGAAACAACUGACGAUCAUCCCGCGUGGAGAGCCCGAUCCACCAAGAACCCUCUCCGGCUUAAGAUCAGCAGAACGCCCCUAAGAUGAUCGCCUUCGAACUGUGUGCCAUUGUACUGGUACUGUGCUCCCUUCCCCCAGGCAGAUGUUCCAGCCCACAGCAGUCUCACAACUUGACCUGGGAGGUGAUCAGUGGGACAGGGAACGUAGUUUGGAGUGUGUCAAAAAUAGCACACCCCUAUUCCUGGUGGCCAGACCUGUACCCCGACCUGUGUACAUUAGCAAUAGGUGCAGCCAAUUGGGGUUUAGAAGGACACACAGACUUCCAAAAACCCCCCUCCUCCCCUGGGAGCCUAGGAUCGCCCCCUUGGGGAGGAUGCGGAGAACCCAGCAAGAGGAGAGAGUUGAAAACCCUCACUUUCUAUGUCUGCCCUGGUUACCAUCGUAGCCAGGCCCUUAAUUGGAAGUGUCAAGGAUUAUCAGAUUUUUACUGUGCAAGCUGGAGUUGUGAGACCUCAGGUGACACCUACUGGCGGCCCUCCUCCUCAUGGGACCUUAUUAAAGUCACUGCUAAUUACACCCACUCAAAUCGGGGCAACGAUGGCACGUGCAAUACAUGGUGUCACCCGUUGCGUAUCGAAUUCACCAAUCCUGGGAAACGGAGUACUAGUUGGACAACGGGGGCCACAUGGGGACUGAGACUCUACCAGAGUGGCUAUGAUAAUGGAGUCUCGUUUACAAUCAAGCUUAAAGCAGAGCCUCUUCCAGCUGUCCCAGUAGGACCCAACGCUGUCUUGCGAGACUAGCCGCGUCUCCCAGCCCCGCCCGCGCCAACCCUAGCCCCACCUGCAGACGCUGCCACCCCUUCCUUCGCCUCCACUCUUAACCGACCCACCUUCCUUCCUAGCACCGGACGGCGCUUUCUCAACCUCCUUGAAGGAGCUUUCCGAGUUCUAAAUACCACCAACCCAAAUUCUACCGAAUCCUGUUGGUUAUGCUUUUCCUCUUCACCUCCUUACUAUGAAGGACUAGGAUUGUUAGGCAAUUUUAAUAAUACGACCAGCCACGAAGCCUGUAGCUGGGGCUCGCAAAAGUUAACCCUGACUGAGGUAACUGGAAAAGCUACAUGUUUAGGAACAAUUCCCUCAACCCAUAAAAGUCUGUGUAAUCACACCCUACCUAUAGUUUCCUCAGGCGAGAACAGGUAUCUAGUCCCUCCCCGUCAAGGAUGGUGGGCUUGUAACACUGGACUAACACCGUGUGUUUCCACCUCUGUUUUCAAUUCCUCCCAUGAUUUCUGUGUUAUGGUUCAACUAGUACCAAGGCUUAUAUAUCAUGAUGAUUCCUCAUUUGUCACUGAGUUCGACCCUAAAAAUAGGUACAAGAGAGAACUAGUCUCGUUGACCCUAGCCACAUUAGUGGGAGUAGGAAUUGCAGCAGGAGUGGGAACAGGGACAGCUGCCAUCAUCCAGGGGAACCAAAACUAUGAAGGGCUGAGAAUCGCCAUUGACGACGAUCUAAAAACCAUAGAACAAUCUAUUACCAAACUUGAAGAAUCUCUGACUUCCCUUUCUGAAGUCGUCUUGCAGAAUAGACGGGGGCUAGAUCUACUGCUCCUAAAAGAUGGAGGUCUGUGUGCAGCUUUAAGAGAAGAAUGCUGUUUCUAUGCAGACCACUCCGGAAUAGUAAGAGAUUCAAUGUCAAAGCUUAGAGAAAGGCUAGACCAGAGAAAGAGAGAGCGAGAAGCUAGCCAAAGUCCCUUUGAGUCCUGGUUCACUAAGUCCCCAUGGCUCACAACUCUGAUCCCCACCAUCCUUGGACCCUUAGCAGGACUCCUCCUUUUAGUGUCUUUUGGCCCUUGGGCCUUAAGAAAACUAACAGCCUUUAUUCGAGAGCAGGUUGACCAGCUCGUCAAGCCAGCAGUUGCUGUUCAUUAUCACAGACUUACAGCCUGUGAUGAAGAGUCUAAUACCGAGCCAACCAACGCUCCCGGUCUCCAGUUCUCAACUUUACAGGCACCUCAACCAUGGUACCAUCGAUUCUGGCACCGUAAUUAAUGUGGCCCAUAUGCUGGUCGGCCAGAACCAGACAUACCCCAUUACCAUUUAUGAGGGUAUGGGCAUCGAGAUGAGUGCGAGACAAAGUACCGCAAGGGAGGGUUCUUCCUAGAACCUCUCUGGUCCUCCCUGAGAAUAUGCCUGGCUUGCAUAGAGGUUGGUAUCCAUAUGUACAUAAAGCCUUGAUAUAUUAAGAUCAAUUUGGCUUUCAGCUCUGCCUCUCCUCCCUAAAAGAUACCGAGAGCAUUUGCGAAAUGUUACCCUGCUGGAGGAGCCAGGCCUCUAUUCCCUCACUCGAUUAAGGCCCACCUUUCUGAAAUAAAUAGAAAGGGAGGAGAUGUUGGGAGCCACACAAAGACAACAAGAUGGCCACAGUUCAUGAGGUUCCUGCUUCACUUCCUGGAGAUUAGCUGCGAGCCCGCGCGCGCCAACAAGAAAGCCCGCGCGCGCCAAGAGAUACUCUUCUCCCCCUCCUUCCCCAUUAUCAUAUGCCAAUCAGAAUGUAACUCGCUGCGCCAUCCCUGCUAUGCAGCCAAUCCCCUGCUUACAAGUAUCCUAUGGCCCACUCUGCCCCUGAACAUUAGUAUAUAUGUACCCCCGUCUUACAAUAAAAUUUGAAGGCUUGAUCAGAA